UAGACAGCGAAGUCUAAAUGGAGGCAAGA
rnacentral:piRNA from 1 species